UACAGAGGGUGCAAGCGUUGUUCGGAAUUAUUGGGCGUAAAGCGCGUGUAGGCGGCCUGGCAAGUCGGGUGUGAAAGCCCUCGGCUCAACCGAGGAAGUGCGCCCGAAACUGCUGGGCUUGAGUGCCGGAGAGGGUGGCGGAAUUCCCCAAGUAGAGGUGAAAUUCGUAGAUAUGGGGAGGAACACCGGUGGCGAAGGCGGCCACCUGGACGGCAACUGACGCUGAGACGCGAAAGCGUGGGGAGCAAACAGGAUUAGAAACCCCCGUAGUCC
rnacentral:rRNA from 1 species